CAGCCGCCGCGGUAAUACAGAGGGUGCGAGCGUUAAUCGGAUUUACUGGGCGUAAAGCGUGCGUAGGCGGCUUUUUAAGUCGGAUGUGAAAUCCCUGAGCUUAACUUAGGAAUUGCAUUCGAUACUGGGAAGCUAGAGUAUGGGAGAGGAUGGUAGAAUUCCGGGUGUAGCGGUGAAAUGCGUAGAGAUCUGGAGGAAUACCGAUGGCGAAGGCAGCCAUCUGGCCUAAUACUGACGCUGAGGUACGAAAGCAUGGGGAGCAAACAGGAUUAGAUACCCGUGUAGUCCCUGUCUCUUAUAC
rnacentral:rRNA from 1 species